AAGUCGUAACAAGGUUUCCGUAGGUGAACCUGCGGAAGGAUCAUUACAUUCAGUAGCCUAGCUACUUGUUUACACCCUUGUUUUUUGCGUACCUAUUGUUUCCUCGGCGGGCUUGCUCGCCGGUUGGACAAAACUAUAACCUUUUUUAAAUCUUCAAUCAGCGUCUGAAUUAUACAUAAUAAUUACAACUUUCAACAACGGAUCUCUUGGUUCUG
rnacentral:misc_RNA from 1 species